GACGAACGCUGGCGGCGUGCUUAACACAUGCAAGUCGAGCGAUGAAGCACCUUCGGGUGUGGAUUAGCGGCGAACGGGUGAGGAACACAUGAAGAAUCUGCCUUCAACUCUGGGAUAACUCCGGGAAACCGGGGCUAAUACCGGAUAUGAGCCUUGGCCGCAUGGCCGGGGCUGGAAAGUUUUUCGGUUGAAGAUGACUUCGCGGCCUAUCAGCUUGUUGGCGAGGUAAUGGCUCACCAAGGCGACGACGGGUAGCCGGCCUGAGAGGGCGACCGGCCACACUGGGACUGAGACACGGCCCAGACUCCUACGGGAGGCAGCAGUGGGGAAUAUUGGGCAAUGGAGGAAACUCUGACCCAGCGACGCCGCGUGAGGGAUGAAGGCCUUCGGGUUGUAAACCUCUUUCAGUAGGGAAGAAGCGAAAGUGACGGUACCUACAGAAGAAGCACCGGCUAACUAUGUGCCAGCCGCCGCUGUAAAAC
rnacentral:rRNA from 1 species